CAGGCCAGCACUGACCUUGAAGCUCAGGCAGAGGAGACCAGCCCUGGAUUCCCAGGUCUUCCAAUUCAGUGAUCAGGACUAAACACAGACUUCAUUAUGGAUUUGGGGAUCAUUUGGGUUUUCAUUGUUACUCUUUUAAAAGGUGUUCAGUGUGAAGUGCAACUUGUGGAGUCUGGUGGUGGCCUGGUGCAGCCUGGGAGUUCCCUGAGACUCUCCUGUGUAGCCUCUGGGUUUACCUUCAGUAAUUAUUGGAUGAGCUGGUUCAGACAGACCCAAGAAAACAAACUGGAGUGGGUUGGAGAAAUUAAUAAAGACAGCAGUAUUACAAACUAUUCACCAUCCCUGAAGGAUCGAUUCACCAUCUCCAGAGACAAUGCCAAGAACACUCUGUACCUGCAAAUGAACAACUUGAAGUCUGAUGACACUGCCAUUUAUUACUGUGCUAAACACACAGUGAGGUGA